GACGAACGCUGGCGGCGUGCUUAACACAUGCAAGUCGAACGGUGAAGGGAUCAGCUUGCUGGUUCUGGAUGAGUGGCGAACGGGUGAGUAACACGUGAGUAACCUGCCCCCUUCUUCUGGAUAACCGCAUGAAAGUGUGGCUAAUACGGGAUAUUCUGCGCCUGCUGCAUGGUGGGUGUGGGAAAGAUAUUGUUUCGGUGGGGGAUGGGCUCGCGGCCUAUCAGCUUGUUGGUGGGGUGAUGGCCUACCAAGGCGGUUACGGGUAGCCGGCCUGAGAGGGGGGCACGUCACACUGGGACUGAGAAACGGCCCAGACUCCUACGGGAGGCAGCAGUGGGGAAUAUUGCACAAGGGGCGCAAGCCUGAUGCAGCGACGCCGCGUGAGGGAUGGAGGCCUUCGGGGUGUGAACCUCUUUCGCAAGUGAAGCAGGCAUGUCCCUUGUGGGUGGGUUGACGUUAGCUGGAGAAGAAGCGCCGGCUAACUACGUG
rnacentral:rRNA from 1 species